rnacentral:tRNA from 1 species
UCCCUGACAGUCCAGUGGUUAAGACUCCAAGCUUCCAACACAAGGGGCUCAGGUUCGAUCCCUGGUCAGGGAA